AGUUACCCUAGGGAUAACAGGCUCGUCGCGGGCGAGAGCUCCUAUCGACCCCGCGGUUUGGUACCUCGAUGUCGGCUCUUCCCAUCCUGGUUCUGCAGCAGGAGCCAAGGGUGGGGCUGCUCGCCCAUUAAAGGGGAACGUGAGCUGGGUUUAGACCGUCGUGAGACAGGUCGGUCUCUGCCUGACAGGGGCGCGGUUGUCUGAGGGGAAGUUGCCCCUAGUACGAGAGGAACAGGGCAGCGCAGCCUCUGGUUUAUCAGCUGUCCGACAGGGCACGCUGAGCAGCUAAGCUGCUUAGGAUAAGUCCUGAAAGCAUCUAAGGACGAAGCCUUUCCCGAGAAAAGACAGCCUUCCGCAAGGAGAAGGGCGGCCAUAGAAGAUGGCGUUGAUGGGAUGGAGGUGUAAGCACCAAGCUUCGGCGAGGUGUUCAGCCUGCCAUUCCCAAUAGCCCAACGCACUAGAA
rnacentral:rRNA from 1 species